rnacentral:rRNA from 1 species
GAACCGAGCGAACGUUGUUCGGAAUCACUGGGCUUAAAGGGCGCGUAGGCGGGCUGCCAAGUCCGGGGUGAAAUCCUCCGGCUUAACCGGAGAAUGGCCUCGGAUACUGGCGGCCUGGAGGGGGGUAGGGGCGUGCGGAACUGUGGGUGGAGCGGUGAAAUGCGUUGAGAUCCACAGGAACUCCGGUGGCGAAGGCGGCACGCUGGACCCUUUCUGACGCUGAGGCGCGAAAGCCAGGGGAGCGAACGGGAUUAGAUACCCCGGUAGUCCUGGCCCUAAACGAUGGGAACUAGGUAGUAGGCCAGACAUGGGCUUACUGCCGGAGCAAAAGUGCUAAGUUCCCCGCCUGGGGAGUAUGGUCGCAAGGCUG